GAGCACUGUCCCUCAACAAGGGAGGAUACACCUCACCUGUAACAGCAUCCAACUCCCAUUUAAGCAGCUAUUCUCUGAGGAGCUGGUUAUAGUGUGAUCUCUCAGGAGUUUGGCAGUCUAACAAGGACUGUCUCUGGACCUGUGCCUGCAGUGCUGGACACCAGGGGAAGGCUUGUCGUCCUACAAAGGUGAGGAGAUGGACACCAGGGGAAGGCACAG
rnacentral:lncRNA from 1 species